CAAACCCGGACGACGCUGGGCCAAUUGUGCGCAACCCUAUGGGACUACUAAUCACGGCCGGUUGUGAUACAGCCUGGAAUCGAACCAGGGUGUCUGUAGCGACACCUCAAGCACUGAGAUGCAGUGCCUUAGACCGCUGCACCACUCGGGAGCCCUGAUGAGUGAUGAGGGAGGACGUCUUUUUUUCUUCUUUCAUGAGCAUGGCCUUAUUUCUAUUACGGCUUAUUGGAUGACUGUCAUUCAUAUUCCAUUCACCCAGUUCAAUGUAACAUCGAUAGGUUUAGGCUACUACAUGAUAGUCAAAUUUUCCCUGUACCCAUCAUGAGGUUUCCUCAACCUAUGAAUGAAAGCUACAACAUGGUGCUCUUUAGGCUACUGUAGACCUACAUUGCAAAACAGUGUGUUUUAAUCAAUUAUUUGGUGACGUGAAUAUAUUUAGAAUAUUUUUUUCUAAAAAGGCUAACUUUUUAAAAAUGUUUUACUAUUUAAUUUAUUAUGAAAUUCACUAAGGAAGAUGUUCCUCCCCUUCCUCCUCUGAGGAGCCUCCACUGCAUGAUACCCAUUAGGAAGCAGGCAUGUCGAUACAACCCUGGUGCGCUAGUCCAGCUUAUCGACUCGUCUUGCAGCCCAAUCAGCCACGUGAAACAGUAUUCAGUGGCAACAAAUCUGCCCAAUUAGCUGAUUUCGCUUUCCAUACACCCACUCUCCCAUACUUCUGUCGCCAUGUUGGGCUGCAGAUACCCAUACUUCUGUCGCCAUGUUGGGCUGCAGAUACCCAUACUUCUGUCGCCAUGUUGGGCUGCAGAUACCCAUACUUCUGUCGCCAUGUUGGGCUGCAGAUACCCAUACUUCUGUCGCCUACAUGAAAUAUUCUACUGCACUGUAAUCACGUGAAAAUCAGUUGACUGUGAAUGUAACUGUGAUUGAUUGUUUUUUUUAAUGCAUUUUUUUGUGAUUGCGUGUUACCUAUUUAAACAAAUAAUCAGAUUUGAUUUACUAUAAUAUCAUUUUCACUGCAAUAUUACUAUUCUCCAUUCCUUACUGUAAUCAACCAGUUUCAGUGAAAUCACUGUGAGUGAUGACAAUCCCCUGGCCUUGGGUUUAGUUGAGGUGUUACUGUCGUUAUGCAGGGUGUUUUGCAGUUUACCUCUUGUGCUGGGAUGUGAUUAGGAGGUUUCCUGUGCUACACAAACCAAAAACCCCACAUGCUGCAGCACACAGUUACAUAUCCUGUGAUGCAGUGAGAAGCUUUCUCUCUCUGUGUGUGUGUGUGUGUGUGUGUGUGUGUGUGUGUGUGUGUGUGUGUGUGUGUGUGUGUGUGUGUGUGUGUGUGUGUGUGUGUGUGUGUGUGUGUGUUCAUGCCUGAUCUACUGUUCCUGCAUGUGUGUGCAUGUAUUAUCCCAGCUAGCACAUAAUGUUCUGAGAACCAUAUAUUUCUUAGACCUUGAUGAGAGUAUGCUUGUCCUAUGAUUAUUUUGCACACAUCCUUGCCACAAUGUUCUGGGAAUGGUGCAGGAUACCCAGCUAGCACAUAACGUUCUAAGAACCAUACUUCAGCAUAAUGUUUUCUGCAGGUUUCCUCAUGGUUCUAUUUAAAGGAAAAAUCCACCCAAAACCACUCAUUCCUAUAAUUUACAGUGUUGCAUAACACUAAUAUGUGAGAACAAUAUUUUUUGUGAACACAU
rnacentral:lncRNA from 1 species